rnacentral:rRNA from 1 species
UACGUAGGGGGCAAGCGUUGUCCGGAUUUAUUGGGCUUAAAGCGUGUGUAGGCGGAUCGUUAAGUGCCUUGUGAAAUCCCAUGGCUUAACCAUGGAACUGCUCGGCAUACUGGCGGUCUUGAGCCAUCUAGGGGCUACCGGAACAAAUGGUGGAGCGGUGAAAUGCGUAGAAUAUCAUUUGGAACGCCAAUGGUGAAAACAGGUAGCUGGGGAUGUGCUGACGCUGAGACACGAAAGCCAGGGGAGCGAACGGGG